CACGUAGGGCGCAAGCGUUGUCCGGAAUUAUUGGGCGUAAAGAGCUCGUAGGCGGUCUGUUGCGUCCGCUGUGAAAACUCGGGGCUUAACCCCGAGCCUGCAGUGGAUACGGGCAGACUAGAGGUAGGUAGGGGAGAAUGGAAUUCCCGGUGUAGCGGUGAAAUGCGUAGAGAUCGGGAGGAACACCAGUGGCGAAGGCGGCUCGCUGGGCCGGCCCUGACGCUGAGGCGCGAAGGCGUGGGGAGCGAACGGG
rnacentral:rRNA from 1 species